UACGGAGGGAGCUAGCGUUGUUCGGAUAUACUGGGCGUAAAGCGCACGUAGGCGGCGUCGUAAGUCAGGGGUGAAAUCCCGGAGCUCAACUCCGGAACUGCCCUUGAAACUGCAAUGCUAGAAUCUUGGAGAGGCGAGUGGAAUUCCGAGUGUAGAGGUGAAAUUCGUAGAUAUUGGGAAGAACACCGAUGGCGAAGGCAGCCAUCUGGACCGACACUGACGCUGAGGCGCGAAAGCGUGGGGAGCAAACAGG
rnacentral:rRNA from 1 species